GUUAGGGCACGACACCGGAGAGGGAGCCUGAGAAACGGCUACCACAUCCAAGGAUGGCAGCAGGCGCGCAGAUUACCCAAUCCCGACACGGGGAGGUAGUGACAAUAAAUAACAAUACGGAGUUCUUUCGGAUUUCGUAAUUGGAAUGAGUACAAUUUAAAUCUCUUAACGAGGAACAAUUGGAGGGCAAGUCUGGUGCCAGCAGCCGCGGUAAUUCCAGCUCCAAUAGCGUAUAUUAAAGUUGUUGCAGUUAAAAAGCUCGUAGUUGAAUUUCGGGGUUAGUAGGUUGGUCAUGCCUCUGGUAUGUACUGGUCUCACUGAUUCCUCCUUCCUGAUGAGCCGUAAUGCCAUUAAUUUGGUGUUGCGGGGAAUUUGGACUGUUACUUUGAAAAAAUUAGAGUGUUUAAAGCAAGCUAACGCUUGAAUACAUUAGCAUGGAAUAAUGAAAUAGGACGUUCGAUCCUAUUUUGUUGGUUUCUAGGAUCGACGUAAUGAUUAAUAGGGAUAGUUGGGGGCAUUAGUAUUCAAUUGUCAGAGGUGAAAUUCUUGGAUUUACUGAAGACUAACUACUGCGAAAGCAUUUGCCAAGGAUGUUUUCAUUAAUCAAGAACGAAAGUUAGGGGAUCGAAGACGAUCAGAUACCGUCGUAGUCUUAACCAUAAACUAUGCCGACUAGGGAUCGGAUGAUGUUAAUUUUUUAAUGACUCAUUCGGCGCCUUACGGGAAA
rnacentral:rRNA from 1 species